GCGGGGGUUGCCAAGCUAGGUCAACGGCGCAGGUCUCGUGUCCCUGUUCCUUAGGGAUUCGUGGGUUCAAAUCCCACCCCCCGCA
rnacentral:tRNA from 1 species